UCCAAUACAUUACCGAACCCAAUAGUUGUUAAAGGCCCUUAACCAAAUUAAUGGAUGCAUCUGUACACGGUCGGAAUUAGCGACCUCAUCAAUCACGUAGCAGAGCAGGAUUGGUCAGGAACUUUUAUUAAGCACCCUAAAUUACCAUUAAUGCUAGCAAUCUUCCAAAAGCCCAAGGACAAAAUAGGAUGCCCCAACACACAGUAAACCGGUAAACUUUUCCAUGACAGCAAACUAUGCCAUGCGUAUUGAAGUCGACGGUGCUUCCUGCAAUUACUUUUCUUCCUCAAAUUGCUUCGCAGAACACUUCCCCGAGAUUUCCGCAAUCUGCACUUUACAUUGACAAAACAAACAGUGCUUUGAAGAAAAAGGAUUUAAUUCUUCCUUGCUACAUAAUGUCGGCGUCGUUCAGCGACAGCGUGCCCUUGGGCGGGUCAAAAUUGAUGCUUGACAUGGGUUCAUGGCCGUUGUGGAUUUGUCCGCCAACUCCACUUUGGUGAUCUUCCUGUCACCACCGCAUGAGGUAAAUCAUAGCAGGAAAGCAAGUUGUAGACAAAAUAACAGUAACUCGUUUGAAUGAAGCUCCAACAUCCUUAGCCAAACGACGCCGUAAUCCUAAUGUAAACGAAGAGCAAUUCUGCAGGUUUCCUUCCCUCAACUUUUUUUUGCAUUCUAACGCAACCUUUUGAUUCCAAACUGCCAUGAGAUGAUGAAUAAAUUUAGUACCAGAAGCAUCAUCAAAACCAGCUUCUUCAAGCUUGCUUCGUAAAGGUCAAUGCCUUCACCGUUAUGAACGAUGCUAAUUGAACCGAAAUGGUAACCCGAAACACAGAUUGACCUUUAACUCAGUAAAGAUCAUAAUCGAUAGUUAGAGCUUCGGGCAAUCGGAAGAGUUUCAUAAAGCUUUGAUAACGACACCGACGCGGCGGCGGUGUGAAUAACAAGGAGACAAACCAACGCCCUUUGACCGUAUUGUUAAAGAUCACAAAGAGCUAGAUACCUACGCCGUAAGAAAAUUGAAGAAUCACCACAGAUGAGAAGACGAUGAUGUUGCGCCGCUCACUGUGAGGUUUUGGAAAGGAGCGUGUGUUUGUAAAUAACAGUCUGUGCCAAAUCCAUUUGUGAGGCCAACAGAGCCGGAUUGGGUUCGCCAUCAGUCACAUGAUCGACAAUGGGAGUUAAUACAGUGAGGUCAAAACCUCCUAUCAUAGCAAUUCUACUUGGGUCUCUUUGUUGGACGAAUAAGCAUGAUCCUGGAACAGGAUUGUCAUUCACCAAACGCGUGCCAGGUGUAUGAUUAAAUACUUCACCCAAAUUCUGUUUUAAUUUUGACCUAUCCCAAUGGAUUUGAUUUCCUUUACGGUGCUUGUUUACGGUUUCACUGUUUUGGAUCUUUGACCGAUUCUUAUAACGAUCAUGAUUCCUCAAUCGGGUUUUGGCAAGGGUCGCGGUAGUGGUUAUGUGGAUUUUAUGGUGAAUUUGCUCGGGAAAUUGAUUUAUAAAUAUGGUUUUGUAAUGAAUUCAAGUCUAAGUGUGAAUGAAUUUUCUUGUUGUGAUUUUAAGGUCGAGUUCCGGUAUUGGUGAAAUAUUGAAUUUUCUAUGGUUGGUGUUCAUGGCGAAGCUUGAAGCCCACGGUAAACGUCCACAUAAAAGAAAAGCAAGGCAAAAUCAAGCAUACAAAGAUAUAUCAAGCAAACAAGCGAGAAAGCACAAGCAAACAAGAAUUCGUGAAAUGAUAAGGUUUAAGGUUUACCGAUCGGAGACCCUCCGAUGGUUCUUCAAUGGCGACACAAACCCAAUACGGUACUCCCAUGAAAAAGGACAUGGCUUGGUCUUGAAGGAUGAUGAAGCAAGGAAUGUAUAACCAUAAAGAUGAUGAAAGAAGAUGGAUUGUUAAUGCUAGAAUCACAUGUUAUUUUGUACUUGUGCUUGGAUUUACACUUGUACUUUGCUUUUGAAUGAAAUGGAAAGUGUUACAAUUUAUAAUAGUUGCUACUAACAACUUUAGAAUUCAGACUUGUAAUAUCAUUUAUGAUUUUAACAUUUGAAUUGGAAUGGUUUAGAAUUGUGUAUGUGAAUUGACUUAUGAAUGAAGUUUGAAUGGCAUUGUAUUAGAUGCUUGGAAAUUGAAUGUGGUUAA